rnacentral:rRNA from 1 species
GUUAUAGGGUCAAGCGAAUAAGUGCAUGUGGUGGAUGCCUUGGCGAUCACAGGCGAUGAAGGACGUAGUAGCUUGCGAAAAGCUGCGGGGAGCUGGCAAACGAGCUUUGAUCCGCAGAUGUCCGAAUGGGGAAACCCGGCCCGUAUGGGUCAUCCCUUGCUGAAUACAUAGGCAAGGGAGGCGAACGCAGUGAACUGAAACAUCUAAGUAGCUGCAGGAAAAGAAAUCAACCGAGAUUCCCAAGUAGUGGCGAGCGAAAUGGGAACAGCCUUGUACUCUUUAGCAGUAUUGUUAGCGGAACGGAAUGGAAAGUCCGGCCAUAGUGGGUGAUAGCCCCGUACGCGAAAACAGUAUUGUGGAACUAGGUGUACGACAAGUAGGGCGGGACACGUGAAAUCCUGUCUGAAGAUGGGGGGACCAUCCUCCAAGGCUAAAUACUCGUGAUCGACCGAUAGUGAACCAGUACCGUGAGGGAAAGGCGAAAAGAACCCCGGGAGGGGAGUGAAAUAGAUCCUGAAACCGCAUGCAUACAAACAGUCGGAGCCUGGAAACGGGUGACGGCGUACCUUUUGUAUAAUGGGUCAGCGACUUACAUUCAGUGGCAAGCUUAACCGAUUAGGGAAGGCGUAGCGAAAGCGAGUCCGAAUAGGGCGUUCAGUCGCUGGGUGUAGACCCGAAACCAAGUGAUCUAUCCAUGGCCAGGUUGAAGGUGCGGUAACACGUACUGGAGGACCGAACCCACUAACGUUGAAAAGUUAGGGGAUGAGCUGUGGAUAGGGGUGAAAGGCUAAACAAACUUGGAAAUAGCUGGUUCUCUCCGAAAACUAUUUAGGUAGUGCCUCGUGUCUCACCUUCGGGGGUAGAGCACUGUCAUGGUUGGGGGGUCUAUUGCUGAUUACCCCGCCAUAGCAAACUCCGAAUACCGAAGAGUGCAAUCACGGGAGACAGACAUCGGGUGCUAACGUCCGGUGUCAAGAGGGAAACAACCCAGACCGCCAGCUAAGGUCCCUAAGAUUGGCUAAGUGGGAAACGAAGUGGGAAGGCUAAAACAGUCAGGAGGUUGGCUUAGAAGCAGCCACCCUUUAAAGAAAGCGUAAUAGCUCACUGAUCGAGUCGUCCUGCGCGGAAGAUGUAACGGGGCUAAGCCAGUCACCGAAGCUGCGGAUGCACGUAAGUGCAUGGUAGGAGAGCGUUCUGUAAGCCUGUGAAGGUGUCUUGUAAAGGAUGCUGGAGGUAUCAGAAGUGCGAAUGCUGACAUGAGUAGCGAUAAAGGGGGUGAAAGGCCCCCUCGCCGUAAGCCCAAGGUUUCCUACGCAACGUUCAUCGGCGUAGGGUGAGUCGGCCCCUAAGGCGAGGCAGAGAUGCGUAGCUGAUGGGAAGCAGGUUAAUAUUCCUGCACCGUCGUAUGAUGCGAUGGGGGGACGGAUCGCGGAAGGUUGUCCGGGUGUUGGAAGUCCCGGUCCCUACAUUGGAGAUGGCACUUAGGCAAAUCCGGGUGCGUGAUUCAAGGGUGUGGGGCGAGCGACGUUAGGUCGCGAAGCAAUUGGAAGUGGUUCCAAGAAAAGCCUCUAAGCUUCAGUCAUACGAGACCGUACCGCAAACCGACACAGGUGGGCGAGAUGAGUAUUCUAAGGCGCUUGAGAGAACUCGGGAGAAGGAACUCGGCAAAUUGGUACCGUAACUUCGGGAUAAGGUACGCCCUUGUAGUUUGACUGGCUCGCGCCAGAAGGAUGAAGGGGUUGCAAUAAAAUGGUGGCUGCGACUGUUUAAUAAAAACACAGCACUCUGCAAACACGAAAGUGGACGUAUAGGGUGUGACGCCUGCCCGGUGCCGGAAGAUUAAAUGAUGGGGUGCAAGCUCUUGAUUGAAGUCCCGGUAAACGGCGGCCGUAACUAUAACGGUCCUAAGGUAGCGAAAUUCCUUGUCGGGUAAGUUCCGACCUGCACGAAUGGCGUAACGAUGGCCACACUGUCUCCUCCCGAGACUCAGCGAAGUUGAAGUGUUUGUGAUGAUGCAAUCUCCCCGCGGCUAGACGGAAAGACCCCAUGAACCUUUACUGUAGCUUUGCAUUGGACUUUGAACCGAUCUGUGUAGGAUAGGUGGGAGGCUUUGAAACCGGGACGCUAGUUUCGGUGGAGCCGACCUUGAAAUACCACCCUGGUUUGUUUGAGGUUCUAACCUUGGCCCGUGAAUCCGGGUCGGGGACAGUGCAUGGUAGGCAGUUUGACUGGGGCGGUCUCCUCCCAAAGUGUAACGGAGGAGUUCGAAGGUACGCUUGGUACGGUCGGACAUCGUACCUAAAGUGCAAUGGCAAAAGCGUGCUUAACUGCGAGACCGACAAGUCGAGCAGGUGCGAAAGCAGGACAUAGUGAUCCGGUGGUUCUGUAUGGAAGGGCCAUCGCUCAACGGAUAAAAGGUACUCUGGGGAUAACAGGCUGAUACCGCCCAAGAGUUCAUAUCGACGGCGGUGUUUGGCACCUCGAUGUCGGCUCAUCUCAUCCUGGGGCUGUAGCCGGUCCCAAGGGUAUGGCUGUUCGCCAUUUAAAGAGGUACGUGAGCUGGGUUUAAAACGUCGUGAGACAGUUUGGUCCCUAUCUGCCGUGGGCGUUGGAAUCUUGACGGGGGCUGCUCCUAGUACGAGAGGACCGGAGUGGACGUACCGCUGGUGUACCUGUUGUCUCGCCAGAGGCAUCGCAGGNUAGCUAUGUACGGAAGAGAUAACCGCUGAAAGCAUCUAAGCGGGAAACUCGCCUGAAGAUGAGGAUUCCCUGGAGACUUGAUCUCCCUGAAGGGUCGUUCGAGACCAGGACGUUGAUAGGCUGGGUGUGGAAGCGCAGUAAUGUGUUCAGCUAACCAGUACUAAUUGCCCGUGCGGCUUGAUCCUAUAACC